ACGGAAGGCAGCAGUAGGGAAUAUUGCACAAUGGGGGAAACCCUGAUGCAGCGACGCCGCGUGAGUGAUGAAGUAUUUCGGUACGUAAAGCUCUAUCAGCAGGGAAGAUAAUGACGGUACCUGACUAAGAAGCCCCGGCUAACUACGUGCCAGCAGCCGCGGUAAUACGUAGGGGGCAAGCGUUAUCCGGAUUUACUGGGUGUAAAGGGAGUGUAGGUGGUUUUGCAAGUCAGAUGUGAAAGCCCGCGGCUCAACUGCGGGACUGCAUUUGAAACUGUGGAACUUGAGUGCAGGAGAGGAAAGUGGAAUUCCUAGUGUAGCGGUGAAAUGCGUAGAUAUUGGGAGGAACACCAGUGGCGAAGGCGGCUUACUGGACUGUAACUGACACUGAGGCUCGAAAGCGUGGGGAGCAAACAGGAUUAGAUACCCUGGUA
rnacentral:rRNA from 1 species